rnacentral:rRNA from 1 species
UGACCGCUGGCGGCGUGCCUACUACAUGCACGUCGAGCGAACAGAUGAGGAGCUUGCUCCUCUGACGUUAGCGGCGGACGGGUGAGUAACACGUGGAUAACCUACCUAUAAGACUGGGAUAACUUCGGGAAACCGGAGCUAAUACCGGAUAAUAUAUUGAACCGCAUGGUUCAAUAGUGAAAGACGGUUUUGCUGUCACUUAUAGAUGGAUCCGCGCCGCAUUAGCUAGUUGGUAAGGUAACGGCUUACCAAGGCAACGAUGCGUAGCCGACCUGAGAGGGUGAUCGGCCACACUGGAACUGAGACACGGUCCAGACUCCUACGGGAGGCAGCAGUAGGGAAUCUUCCGCAAUGGGCGAAAGCCUGACGGAGCAACGCCGCGUGAGUGAUGAAGGUCUUCGGAUCGUAAAACUCUGUUAUUAGGGAAGAACAAAUGUGUAAGUAACUAUGCACGUCUUGACGGUACCUAAUCAGAAAGCCACGGCUAACUACGUG